rnacentral:misc_RNA from 1 species
AGAGUUAAACAGUACGUGAAAUUGUUGAAAGGGAAACGAUUAAAGUCAGUCGUACUGACGAGGAAUCAACCUUUUGAGAGUGGAUUAGUGGGUUCUGCUUGCGACAUCCGCGCUUUUCAGGUGCACUUUCUCGUAUUGUAAGUCAGCGUCGGUUUCGAACGUUACAAAAUGAUCGGGGGAAUGUGGCUUCGAUUUCGGUUGAAGUGUUAUAGCCUCUGGUAGAUGUAACGUUCGAAACCGAGGAUUGCAACGGAUACCCUUACGGGCUAUUCGCCUGGCCUCUGAUACGUCACUUUGGCGUCGAAAGCUUGCUUACGAUGUUAAAGCGUUCGGUCAACAGGUUAGAACGAAUUAAAUUCGUUAAGGACGCUGACGUAAUGGCUUUAAACGA